CGCAGGGAUGCGCGCCCGGCCUGUUGCCGUGGAAACAGCUCGGCCAGCGCCCGGCGGGACCUGGGAUCCCCGCACGCAGCGGUGGGAGCCGGCGGACCGCGCCCCCGGCCGGCCCUCACCUCCGCUUCCCGGUAUUUCCGGGUUCGGGUCUCCAGUUGGGGAGUUAAUCCCUCGGGCUCGUCAGUAGUGCUGUGGCUGUCGCCUCUUCCUGCAGCGCCAGGCUCCGCCCGCCCUCAAAGUCGGCUUAGGUGCUUUCUGUGCACUGCGGUUGGGUGGAAAAAUACCCACUCCUGGCUGUUUAGACGUUGGCCUGCAGAAGAUGUCAUUUCUGUAUUUCUCUAUGGGUAACAAAGCCAAUCUUGCACCAGUGGAGACGUGAGUAAGAGAGAAUCGUCUACCCUUUGGGGACAUCCAUACGCCUUAGGUGCUGUGGGGCUACCUAACAAAAUUGUGAGCAGUUACUGACCUCUGGGGAGAAGAGUAUUCAGGAAGAAUAAUCCAGUAAACGUGCCGUCCUCCUUCCUAAACAGAGUGGAAUCUGUAAGCAGGCCUAGAGAGCAUCCAGGUGGCUUGGAGUGGAACAGAGGGCUCUAGGACGGGUGUCGCAAAGAGGAAAGAGUCAGGAAGUCAUUACACAACUUACACAUUGUCAUCAGAUUUCCCCUGACGUGUAUUUGGGAAUGAUGUGCACUGCCAAGAAAUGUGGGAUUAGAUUUCAGCCUCCAGCUAUUAUCUUAAUCUAUGAGAAUGAAAUCAAGGGGAAAAUUCGCCAGCGCAUUAUGCCAGUUCGAAACUUUUCAAAGUUUUCAGAUUGCACCAGGGCUGCUGAACAAUUAAAGAAUAAUCCACGACACAAGAGUUACCUGGAACAAGUAUCCCUGAGGCAGCUAGAGAAGCUAUUCAGUUUUUUACAAGGUUACUUGUCGGGGCAGAGCUUGGCAGAAACAAUGGAACAGAUUCGUCGGGAAACAACCAUUGACCCUGAGGAAGAUCUGAACAAACUAGAUGACAAGGAGCUUGCCAAAAGGAAGAGCAUCAUGGAUGAACUCUUUGAGAAAAAUCAGAAGAAGAAGGAUGAUCCAAAUUUUGUUUAUGACAUUGAAGUUGAAUUCCCACAGGACGAACAACUGCAGUCCUGUGGCUGGGACACAGAGUCAGCUGAUGAGUUCUGAUACCAAACACUCAAAAAAUGGCUGCCCUUGAGAUGGAGUUGUUGCCCUUUUGGCUCUGCCUGGGUUUUCGCUUCUUGACAGUGGACUGGAGGAACAGAAGUGGAACGGCCACAGCAGCUUCCCAAGGGGACUGCAAGUUGGGUGCUGCACUGAUGAUCUUCUGAGAAAUCCAGAAAGGACUGCCACCAGAUCCAUCAGAAGCAACCAUGGACAAGUCAAGAAUGGAAUCCUAACUCCUCCUAAAGUAAAUGGGCUUGGGACAGAAACAGUUCCAUUUUAAAUAAUCAGACAGAAUUGCUUUAUAGUUUCCUUAGUGUGCCAAAUGCCAGAAGGAGCUCUGUAGUCUGUGAUCUCCUACAGGUUCUUGUGACCUGCUCCAUGGGCAUACCCACCAUCCUGUGUGCAGACAGCCCAUCAUAUGUGGCUGCUGCUGCUGUGUCCUGCACGACCUGGCACACUCCUGGCAUGACUGUGGCUUCUUCUUCCAGUUUCUGGGGAGUGAUGACAGAGAAGUCCUGGAUAGAGCAUGUUCAUGAGAGAUGAGAUCAAAGCUAGAACACGUGUUUCAUUCUGCCUGUUUUGGGGGAGCUGAGGUCAUGGAGGUUUCCUUGUGAACAUGCAGAGUUCACAAGGCGCUAAUGAGCCGACAGGCCCAAUGGCUCUGUCCUUGUGUUUUCUCACUCACUGACCAAUUUUAUUGAUCUUAGCUUUCAAUAAAGUAGGUAUGGAUGAAACGCUUGCUAACAAGUGAUAUAAUAUUUCAGAUGAUUCCAUUAGUCUUCACAGCUGUGGUCUUAAACACUAUAUAAAAGAGACAUCACCCAGAGGUAAUAUAAUUUUUAUCACUUUUUCCCCAGUUAUAAGCCACAUUUCUUUUUCAAGUUUAUUCCUAAUGAAAUAUAGAUUACCAGGGCACACACUGCUGUUAGUAACCCAUGCAGCUAAAUUUCCCAUAACACAUGGACAUAUAUCAUUAGGAGGCCGAGACAGUUCCUCUUGCCGCCAUUUACUGUCCCUUUGGCAGAGCAGAGGUCCCAGCAUGUAAGGCGCUUCAGAACAUGGCCAGUCUGUCUGUCCCCACCACCCGAGUGACGAGCAGGACCUCCUUAUGGGAAACAACUUCUGUGUUACUGGUCUUAGGAAGCAAAUACAAGUAUCUUAAUGUUAUUCUGAACAACAUACAGUAAAUCAUAGCCUUUCAUUCCUGUUCAAGAGGUAUUAAAUUACAUUUGAAAAUACAUAAGGUAAACCAACCAUACAAUUCUAAGCCCACCGGCCAUCUGAACAGACCCCUCCUCUGGGCAAGGGCAUUCCAAGGCUAACCUGAGGGACUGGUUCAGGCCAUGAUGGGGGGUGGGGGUGCCUCAUUAAACCCUCCUCCCUUUCAGAAUUACCACAGAACAAACUAAGUCUGCUGAGAAACAUUUUCAACUUCUUCUCUCUGAAGCCUGGAGGCUUCAUCUGCAUGAUAAACUUUGGUCUCCACAAUGCCUUAUCAUCAUAACCCAUUCAUUCCUUUCUACUGAUUCCAAGUCUUCCAGUUAAUAACUUAACUCUUUCAAACAGUUGGCAACCAGAAAAUUGUUACAUCUACCCAUACAUACCUGGAAGCCUCCCCUUCCUGGCUUGGUGCUGCCUUUCCAAACUGAACCAAUGUACAUCUUACAUGUAUUUGACUGAUGUCUCAUGUCUCCCUAAAACGUACAAACUAGGCUGUAUCCCGACAACCUUGGGCACAGGUUUUCAGGAUCUCCUGAGGGUUGUCACAGACCAUUGGUCACUCAUAGUUGGCUCAGAAUAAAUCUUCAGAUAUUUUACAGAAUUUUCUGACUCUUCGUCAUCCAUAAUAGCAGGGAAAUCAAACUGCUCAUGUGAACACUUACAAACACAGUAAUGUAUUUAGUGAGGUCACCUGAGAGCCAGUGUUACUCUUUAUGAACCUGACCACAGAAAAGGAAGUGGUCGUGGGUGCAGGUGUGAGAUUACAUUCUCCAUGCCAUUAAGCACGUCACUGCUCUUUCCAAUGUAGCCACUGCAUUAAACUUAAAUGCAGUUACCAUGCAAGGAAUAGCCAUCAACCUCCACCAAAAACACAUCUGACUGAGAAGAUUUAGAAUUUCAAUGAUCAGAACUUUAUUGAUAAAGUGUUAAGAGAUUUCUACUGUGAUUACUAGGCAUUUCCUUACUCAUUGAUGUUAUAAAUUUAGAAACAAAAAAAUACUGAUUCAAGAGCAAGAUGAAGGUAUGAUAUAAUCCCCUUCCUGGCUUGAAGUUAUUAUGUAGGAUAAUGCAUGGGAAAGUGCAUGGCCAAUGACUGUCACCACUCAUGCAUCGACACCUACUGCACAUCUUGUAUUUGCCGGGCCCUGCGUGUUGGAUAUAUGGACAUUAAGUACAAUUCAUGCCCCAGGAAAUAUGCUGGAUAUUGCAAAUAAUAAUAAUAACAAUAUCAUCACAUAAAUUAAUAUUGGAGGGAACACUAAUAUCUGUGGUUCCAACACAAAAAGGACUAGCAUAGGAGCCAGAGACCUGGUAGGUGAGCUGGCUGGACCAACAACCUCCACUCUGGACAGAGUAAAGUGAUUUCUCUACAGCUCUCAAGCUGUUCAGAAUUUUUGUUGUAAUACUUCAAUUACACAUGUAUUUCUGAUUUAUGGCAAAUAAUCGCUCAUCUGGUUUAUCUUUCUGAUGCCCUUCAUCUGUGUAGAACUUGGUAAGUUUUAAUUCCUAACAAUCACAAAGCCACACUCACUCCAGGAUAUACAGGUUGGAGCAUCUGAAACUACCACUUUGGCAGGUCAAAAAGUCUGCAAGUUAACAUGACCCAAACGCAUAGCUUUGCACCAAAAAAUACUGACUUAGUAGCCAUUCCAAUUCUAUUUAGGUGUCAAAACACUCAUUUAAGGUAGAACAUUUAGCAUUUUUAAGUUUUUAUGCUGUCUAAAAUUUUUAAUAAAGUGACCAGUAGUAUAUUUGGCAAGACAGGAAGAAAUGUAAAAUGAAUAUCCUAAAAAUUAAGAAAUUGUUUCAUUGAAACAGAUUGCUACCAAAAUCAGACAAAAUAAAAUGGCAUAGCUGUAUUUGGGUUAAGCCCCUGUGAUUUCCCCUGAGGAAAGCCCAUAGAUUAUUGCCAACAUAGUAAUAUUUAGCUGUCUUGUGAAACCAGUGCUCAACAAAGUAGAAGGAACCACCAGAUUAUAGGGGGAGUGAACCUGGACAUGUGUUUUUUAUAAAUGUGCGGAUAAUACACUGAAUUAAUUUCUGGUGUUAAAGAUCAACCUAUCUGUAACAUUCCCUAUAAAUGUUUUAAUUCCUGUGAUUGCUGUUUUGAAAAAACAGCCUAGAGUAAAUAUGUGAGUAUAUUAGUUAUUCCUUGUGGAUAGUUGAAUCUUAAGGAAACAAUUAAAAACGACAUUUUUAAAAUGUAAACAUGAAUUGUUUUUAGCAUUGACAAUGCAUACACAGUCUUGAAAAUACAUAAAUAAAAUCGUGAUGCGUGUUGGAUGUAUUAGGGCAGAUAUUGUAAUAGAGUGUUUUCCAUUUUAUUUUUUGCAAUGUAUCUUGCUGAAUGUAUAGGAAUUUCUAACUAUUCUUAUUUAAAAAUUUAUUAUUAGUAUAGGUCAUUCCCAACUUUGCCACACUUUAUGCAGGAUAUUACUGAUUGUAUGGUCACCUGCCUUCUUCAAAACUGCCUACUUGAUAGUUGUAUCUCAGUUUUUUCUUGCUUCUCUGUUUUUCAAAAUUUGUAAACAUAGUAGGUAUAGGCAUGGUGAUUUUUCCCAGCAGUUUUAAACAUUAAGAGUGUUUUUCAAAUCCUUUUAUAGUUCCUAAUGCUCUAGAAAUUAUUCUUACCAUUGUGUUCCAGUGGAUUUUUCUGAGGUAAAAAAAGAGCUUUGACUACUUUGGAUUGUUGGGAAAACUAGAGGGAAAGUUACUGGGUCAAGCUUCAUGUUUAAUAAUUGGGUAAAAGGUACUGGAAACAACAUCAUCUUCAGCAUCCAGAAUUACAUACUUGGCAGCUCCGAGGCUCUGAGUGUCUUUGUUCCACGUGCUUGGCCCUCGGACAAACCCAAACAGCAGCAAUGAGGGUGCCGCAUGAGAUGUCUCUGUGUCUGUAGGGCUGGUCCCUUCACCCUGUUUCCAUCUUCAGCACUCUCUCAGCUACAUAUGCCCCAUUGUCUCUCCAUACAUACACAUUUUAUAACCAGUUUGUCAAAAAUAAAUACAUAAACAAAGAAAUGUUCAGCAUAAUCUUGAAAUUAGAUUAAAUCGAAGAGCAUUUUUUGGAGGGAUACUUAGUUUGCCUACAUGUGGCAGUGGUGACCUAUCUCCAUGCAUUUAGGUCUGAAAUUCUAAUAAAGUUUUAUGAUGUGUUUUCCACAGAA